UACGAAGGGGGCUAGCGUUGCUCGGAAUCACUGGGCGUAAAGCGCACGUAGGCGGACUCUUAAGUCAGGGGUGAAAUCCUGGAGCUCAACUCCAGAACUGCCUUUGAUACUGGGAGUCUUGAGUCCGGGAGAGGUGAGUGGAACUGCGAGUGUAGAGGUGAAAUUCGUAGAUAUUCGCAAGAACACCAGUGGCGAAGGCGGCUCACUGGCCCGGUACUGACGCUGAGGUGCGAAAGCGUGGGGAGCAAACAGG
rnacentral:rRNA from 1 species